rnacentral:rRNA from 1 species
GCGUCCCAUUAGCUUGUUGGUGGGGUAAUGGCCCACCAAGGCAACGAUGCGUAGCUGGUCUGAGAGGAUGAUCAGCCACACUGGAACUGAAACACGGUCCAGACUCCUACGGGAGGCAGCAGUGGGGAAUAUUGCGCAAUGGGGGAAACCCUGACGCAGCGACGCCGUGUGAGGGAAGAAGGCUUUCGGGUCGUAAACCUCUGUCAGGAAGGAAGAACCUCUCAAGGCUGACCAAGCCUUGGGACUGACGGUACUUCCAGAGGAAGCACCGGCUAACUCCGUGCCAGCAGCCGCGGUUAAUACGGAGGGUGCAAGCGUUAAUCGGAAUCACUGGGCGUAUAGCGCGCGUAGGCCGUCUUGUAAGUCGGACGUGAAAGCCCUCGGCUCAACCGGGGAACUGCGUUUCGAUUACUGGGAGACUUUGAGUCCUGGAGAGGGUGGCGGAAUUCCGGGUGUAGGAGUGAAAUCCCGUAGAUAUCCCGAGGAACACCCGGUGGCGAAGGCU